rnacentral:rRNA from 1 species
GAUGAACGCUGGCGGCGUGCCUAAUACAUGCAAGUCGAGCGAACGGACGAGAAGCUUGCUUCUCUGAUGUUAGCGGCGGACGGGUGAGUAACACGUGGAUAACCUACCUAUAAGACUGGGAUAACUUCGGGAAACCGGAGCUAAUACCGGAGGAUAUUUUGAACCGCAUGGUUCAAAAGUGAAAGACGGUCUUGCUGUCACUUAUAGAUGGAUCCGCGCUGCAUUAGCUAGUUGGUAAGGUAACGGCUCACCAAGGCAACGAUGCAUAGCCGACCUGAGAGGGUGAUCGGCCACACUGGAACUGAGACACGGUCCAGACUCCUACGGGAGGCAGCAGUAGGGAAUCUUCCGCAAUGGGCGAAAGCCUGACGGAGCAACGCCGCGUGAGUGAUGAAGGUCUUCGGAUCGUAAAACUCUGUUAUUAGGGAAGAACAUAUGUGUAAGUAACUGUGCACAUCUUGACGGUACCUAAUCAGAAAGCCACGGCUAACUACGUG